rnacentral:lncRNA from 1 species
UCCAAUAGUUUUCCAUCAUUUUUUUUCUUAACACAAUUGAUUUUUAAUAAUUUGAAAGAAUGCAAGAUGGCGUCGUAUCUGACCUGCUCCUACUCACAUGACAUUCCGUUAAUUGACUAUAACCUUGAACCAAGCUCUUUAUCUCAUCUUCAUCUUCAUUGUCUUCUUGGAUUUGGUAAAAGUCGGAAAGGUCUCCAUAUCUUCAAGUUUUUCUUCAUGGAUCUGUUAGAAAAUGUACUGGGUCGAUUUUUCUCAUAGACUUUCUUCAUGGGUAUGCUGAAAAAGGUAUCCGGUUUGUCUUUCUGGAAAAUUUUCCUGAUGAUCUCCAUUAAUGGAGGUUCAACCUCCAUUAAUGGAGGUUCACCUUCAUAAUUUUUUAGUCAUAUAUCUAAAAUUCGGGAAGCUAUUAAUGUGGAUCUAUCAUCCUUAAAGAAUGAGGACGGAUGUUUGUCAUCCUUGAAAAAUUCAACCUCCAUUGAUGGAGGUUAAGCUUGAAG